GACGAACGCUGGCGGCGUGCUUAACACAUGCAAGUCGAACGAUUCCAAGGGUGCUUGCAUCUUUGGUUUAGUGGCGAACGGGUGAGUAACACGUGAGUAACCUGCCUCUUGGUUCGGGAUAAGCUUGGGAAACUGGGUCUAAUACCGGAUAUUCUUCUUUCACCGCAUGGUGGGGGUUGGAAAGAUUUAUUGCCAAGGGAUGGGCUCGCGGCCUAUCAACUGGAUGGUGAGGUAGUGGCUUACCAUGGUUUUGACGGGUAGCCGGCCUGAGAGGGUGACCGGCCACACUGGGACUGAGACACGGCCCAGACUCCUACGGGAGGCAGCAGUGGGGAAUAUUGCACAAUGGGGGGAACCCUGAUGCAGCGACGCCGCGUGCAGGAUGACGGCCUUCGGGUUGUAAACUGCUUUCAGCAAGGAAGAAUUUGACGGUACUUGCAGAAGAAGCGCCGGCUAACUACGUGCCAGCAGCCGCGGUAAUACGUAGGGCGCAAGCGUUGUCCGGAAUUAUUGGGCGUAAAGAGCUCGUAGGCGGUUGGUCGCGUCUGGCGUGAAAUUCCCUGGCUCAACUGGGGGCUUGCGUCGGGUACGGGCUGACUUGAAUGCUGUAGGGGUAACUGGAAUUCCUGGUGUAGCGGUGGAAUGCGCAGAUAUCAGGAGGAACACCGAUGGCGAAGGCAGGUUACUGGGCAGUUAUUGACGCUGAGGAGCGAGAGCAUGGGGAGCGAACAGGAUUAGAUACCCUGGUAGUCCAUGCCGUAAACGUUGGGCACUAGUUGUGGGGGCCAUUCCACGGUUUCCGUGACGCAGCUAACGCGUUAAGUGCCCCGCCUGGGGAGUACGGCCGCAAGGCUAAAACUCAAAGGAAUUGACGGGGGCCCGCACAAGCGGCGGAGCAUGCGGAUUAAUUCGAUGCAACGCGAAGAACCUUACCAAGGCUUGACAUCACCUAGAAGACUGCAGAGAUGUGGUUGCUUUCGGGCUGGGUGACAGGUGGUGCAUGGUUGUCGUCAGCUCGUGUCGUGAGAUGUUGGGUUAAGUCCCGCAACGAGCGCAACCCUUGUCUCAUGUUGCCAGCAAUUCGGUUGGGGACUCAUGGGAGACUGCCGGGGUUAACUCGGAGGAAGGUGGGGAUGACGUCAAAUCAUCAUGCCCCUUAUGUCUUGGGCUUCACGCAUGCUACAAUGGCCGGUACAACGGGUUGCGAUAUCGUAAGGUGGAGCGAAUCCCUAAAAGCCGGUCUCAGUUCGGAUUGGGGUCUGCAACUCGGCCCCAUGAAGUGCGGAGUCGCUAGUAAUCGCAGAUUCAGCAACGCUGCGGUGAAUACGUUCCCGGGC
rnacentral:rRNA from 1 species